rnacentral:rRNA from 1 species
GACGUAGGGCGCGAGCGUUGUCCGGAUUUAUUGGGCGUAAAGAGCUCGUAGGCGGCUUGUCGCGUCGAUCGUGAAAACUUGUGGCUCAACUACAAGCUGGCGGUCGAUACGGGCAGGCUGGAGUUCGGUAGGGGAGACUGGAAUUCCAGGUGUAGCGGUGAAAUGCGUAGAUAUCUGGAGGAACACCGGUGGCGAAGGCGACAUCCUGGACCGGUAUUGACGCUGAGGCGCGAAAGCCAGGGGAGCAAACGGG